GGUCCAUAUCCCAAGCUCAGUUGGUUAGAGUGUGGUGCUUGAUAGCAUGAAGGUCAUAGGUUCGAACCCUGUAUGGACCA